AGCAGCCGCGGUAAUUCCAGCUCCAAUAGCGUAUAUUAAAGUUGUUGCAGUUAAAAAGCUCGUAGUUGAAUUUCGGGAUCAAUUUAUCGGUCGUGCCUAUGGUAUGAACUGGUGCAAUUGGUUUCUCCCUUCUGACGAAGCAUGAUGUCAUUAAUUUGGUGUCGUGGGGAAUCAGGACUGUUACUUUGAAAAAAUUAGAGUGUUUAAAGCAAGCAUUAGCUUGAAUACAUUAGCAUGGAACAAUGAAAUAGGACGUUUGAUCCUAUUUCGUUGGUUUCUAGGAUCGACGUAAUGAUUAAUAGGGAUAGUUGGGGGCAUUAGUAUUCAAUUGUCAGAGGUGAAAUUCUUGGAUUUAUUGAAGACUAACUACUGCGAAAGCAUUUGCCAAGGAUGUUUUCAUUAAUCAAGAACGAAAGUUAGGGGAUCGAAGACGAUCAGAUACCGUCGUAGUCUUAACCAUAAACUAUGCCGACUAGGGAUCGGAUGAUGUUAAUUUUUUAAUGACUCA
rnacentral:rRNA from 1 species